AUACGGGGGGAGCAAGCGUUGUUCGGAUUUACUGGGCGUAAAGGGCGCGUAGGCGGCCAGCGCAAGUCAGUUGUGAAAUCUCCGAGCUUAACUCGGAAAGGUCGACUGAUACUGCGCGGCUAGAGUGCGGAAGGGGCAACUGGAAUUCUUGGUGUAGCGGUGAAAUGCGUAGAUAUCAAGAGGAACACCUGCGGCGAAGGCGGGGUGCUGGGCCGACACUGACGCUGAGGCGCGAAAGCCAGGGGAGCGAACGGGAUUAGAUACCCCGGUAGUCCUGGCCUUAAACGAUGAAUGCUUGGUGUCUGGGGUUACAUAGUCCCCGGGUGCCGUCGCUAACGCUUUAAGCAUUCCGCCUGGGGAGUACGGUCGCAAGACUGAAACUCAAAGGAAUUGACGGGG
rnacentral:rRNA from 1 species